rnacentral:misc_RNA from 1 species
GAUGAAGAACGCAGCGAAAUGCGAUAAGUAAUGUGAAUUGCAGAAUUCAGUGAAUCAUCGAAUCUUUGAACGCACAUUGCGCCCGCCAGUAUUCUGGCGGGCAUGCCUGUUCGAGCGUCAUUUCAACCAUCAAGCCCCCGGCUUGUGUUGGGGACCUGCGGCUGCCGCAGGCCCUGAAAAGCAGUGGCGGGCUCGCUGUCACACCGAGCGUAGUAGCAUACAUCUCGCUCUGGGCGUGCUGCGGGUUCCGGCCGUUAAACCACCUUCAUAACCCAAGGUUGACCUCGGAUCAGGUAGGAAGAACCGCUGAACUUAAGCAUAUCAAUAAGCGGAGGA